UCCGCGAACGCACGCUCCGACCCGAACAGCUCAGCGCCCAGCUCGUCUUCGGGGCCAGUCAUGGCGCCGAGCAGCGCGUCCUCCAUGGCCACGGGGACCGGAGUACAGCGACACGACGCGGCCGCCCAGCUCCUGAGAGGGAAUUUACAGAAGCCCAACUACUUUUCAGCUGAAAUCUCAACAGAGAGCUGUGAAUUGAAGCCCCAUUUCUCUUGGCAGCCAGACCCCUUCCCUAACUCUGGGCAAACAACUUCCUGUCUGUUUGGUAGAGAGCUUGCCUAUCGACAGCUCAGGAACAAGCUCGUCACCCAAGCAAGUGUUGGUCUCUGGAUCACCAGACUCACCUCUCCUGGAAUGUCCCAUUGUAGCCUUGUGGGCUUAGGGAUGUUGGGGUUGGUGUCUCCUUUACAGUGUCCAUCCUCUGAGUAACCCAGCUGGAAGACGUCGGUGGCCAUGACAUACUGAGAAAAAGAAGCAGGGACUGAAUAGAAACCGUGAGCAAGUACAGUGUCUCCUGCCACGUUCAGCACAGAACACUCCUGGGACCAACGCUGGGAGUAAGGGCAGGGUCUCCACACACCACGCACCUUCCCCAGUGCCCCCCCCCCACACACACACCGCCACACCAGAAGGCAGAGAGUAGGAAGAUCCCAGAGAGCUAACUGAUAGGUGGUUUCUAGAAACCAGGCCUAGGGAGAAUAAAAGUGUGGCUCUGAACCUCUGCUCCUUUCUGUGUCCUUUGUAAUAAGACAGAGGCAUAGGUGUUUCCCUGAGCCAGAGCUGCUCUAGCAGACUAAGCUGUCUAGAGAAGAUGAUCAAGGGAGCCUUGAGUAGGACUGAUGGAGCAUCCACAGUUCUCAGGACACUGCAUCAUCAGCAUGCAGGAUGCUACAAGCUGUGUCUGCCCCCACCAGGUUCCCCACUGUGGCUGGUGCUGUGCCUCCAAGAUGAGAGCCAGGUCCCCGGCACUCUCUUGGGCAGCUGGGCUCCACUCCUUAUCCCAUCAGGCGGACAGGAAAUGAAAACUGAUUCUACUUGUGGCCUUGGCCUAAGGCUAAGUCUCCUUGGCCUUAUCUUGAUUAGCUACUUUAAAAUAUUAGCCUGAGGCUGGAGAGCCAACUCAGCUAUUCAACGUGCCUGCUGCUAUAGCAGAAGUUUUGGGGGGCUGAGGGGUGGGUCCCAGCUGUAACUCCAGCUCCAAGGGAUCUACUGCCCCCUUUUGGUUGCUGCAUAUACUGCAUGCAUGUGCACGUGUAUAAACACAAUAAACCUUAAUGUCAGGCAGACUUUGUGGAUACCUUGUUGAUUUCUCUUUCUUCUUUAUCUCUCUUUUCAACCUUUUGUUUUUUUUUGUUAUAUGACCCUGAUUGUCCUCAAGCUUCUCAGUAAUCCUCCUGUCUCAGCCUCUUGAGUGCUGGAAUUAUAGGCAUGUGCCACCACUAUGAGUCCUCUUAUGUCUGCCCUUGAGAACUGUGCUGUGUGUGCUGCAAGUUGCCCGGGUCCCAGAGAUCCUCAUUACCCAACAGCAACUGUGCAUGUGCUAUCUGAAAAGUCCCUGGGAUGUUAAUCAAGAGCCUAUACUGUUGGGCUUUGCAGAGCUUCCCAGAGAUGUGUGUGUGAGCAUCAGGGUCUGGCGGCUAAUGGAGGUGAGGGAUCUGUGCAUCUGGGAUGAAAGUCUACACUGCUGCCCAUCAGUUCAGGGCCUGAUAGGGACAUAAGCCCUUGCGCUUUGCCCUUUGGAAUCAGUGUCUCAAUGGAGCACAGUGGUGCCUUAGACCCAGACUGCCUGGUUCUUCCUCUCCAGGCUUUCUCGUGUAGGAAGACUUCCGUGGUUACAGAAGCAGCAGCAGCAGAAGCAGCAGCAGCAGCAGCAGCAGCAGGGACUUUGCCAAGACCCCAAGCAGAGGUCAGAGCACCCGAGGGUUGAGAGGUGAGCCAAGGUGCUGCUAACCUCAUGGGAGGGGGUAUGCUUUGGAGAAGUAGGGGAGGGAGCAGAGUCGGCUGAGACCUAAAGAAAAUAUCUCCCCUCCAGAAAGAGGGCAGAGCUCAUGCACAAGCAAGAAGACACAAUCCGCACUCUGCAGUUGAUUCUGCACCACAGGAAAAGAAAUCGCUGACAUCGCUGGCACAGCACUGCAAGGAGAAACCAAGUGCAAAGUCUUGGCUGGGAUGGCAGAGCAAACCCAAAACCAGCCGCACUCUGGAGGCCGAGGCAGGAGCAUUGCCAUGAACUGGAGUUUGGCUUGGGCUAAACAGUGAGACCCUGGAGAGAGGAAGGAAGAGAGGGAAAGAGCAUCCUAGCCUGAAAUCCAAAAUCUUCCAAAAUUUAAACUUUGUUGAGAGUUACGGCAGUAUUUAACAAAUUUCAGAUUUCUGAAAUAUAGCUAUUUGACUGAGAAGUCCACAAAGACGCCGGAUUUGCACUCCAUGCUCUCCCUUUCUUUCUCUUUGUCUCUCUCUGUUUUAAAAGGGUUUUGUUUUACAGUCCAAGCUGGCCUCAAGUUCCUGAUCCUCUUGCCUCAGCUUCCCAGGCACUAGUGUGACAGUCAUGUGUCACCGCACCCAACCCUGUGAUUUUGAAAGCUGGGUUAGGAGAAUGGGAGACAGAGAUCUGGUGGUCUUUAAGUAACUGGUCAUUUUAGUGACUGAAAUAUUUUCAGUAAGAUAUGUUGCCUUAAAUUUUUUGAUUUAACUGUUAUGUGUGUGGAUGCACGCAUGGGGUGUUGCCCCUCUGCCUUUACGUGGGUGACAAGGUGGAACUCAGAUCAUGGGACUUUCACAAUAAGUACUUUACCCCAUUAGCAUCUCUCUGGCUCCAAGACACUACCAUUUUGUAAGCCCAAAUUUUAAGCCAGGCCUGGUGGUACGUAUCUAUAAUCUCUGAUACUCAAGACAUUGAGGCAGGAGGAUUCCAGGUCUGAGGCCAUUCUGGGCAACAGAGUGAGUUCGAGUCUAGCAUGUUUAAUUUAGUGAGAGCAGUACAGCCUUGGUGUGGAGCACCUGUCUGGCAUGUGUGAGGCCCUGGGUUCGGUUCCGGGCACCUCACACUCAAACGCACACAUUUAGAGUUUAGUAUGUUCUUUUCUGUUUGCCCUCAAACUAGGGUGAGUGGGAACACCAGGAAAUCUGGCAGGAAGCUAAUCAUUUCGGAACUAACAAAGCUGUGUGAGCUGUGAGCUACUAUGUGACUUCAGUUGCAUAAACAGACACCACAUAUGCCAGUACUCAAGGAACCUAAGUUACAAGAAACCAAGACUCAGAUGUCUGUAACUUCCCGUGUGGCACCAACACCAACGAAAGCCUUGGUGCUGUGCUUUAAAGUGAGCAGCCUCUUACCAGCUCUUUUGUUCACUUAUUUUUGGUUUUCGAGACAGAUAGUCUCUAUGCUGUCCUGGCUGUCCUGAAACUCACUCUGUAAACCAGGCUGGCCUUGGACUCACAGAGAUCCUCCUGCCUCUGCCUCCUGAGUGCUGGGAUGAAAGGUGUGAGGCACCACUGCCUGCCCAGGUUACUGCGUGCAUGUUUUAACAUUUGGUCCUCAAGUAUAGUAGUGCUAUGUUUUGUAAGAUUUAUUUAUUCAUGUUAUAUGAGUACACUGUCACUGUCUUCAGACAACCAGAAGAGGGCUUACAGAUGGUUGUGAGCCACCGUGUAGUUGCUGGGAAUUGAACCCAGGACCUCUGGAGAGCAGUCAGUGCUCUUAACCACUGACCCAUCUCUCCAGCCCCUGGUGGUGCUAUCUUGGAUGUUAUGGACUCUUGGAGGAGUGAGUUACUGGGAGCAGGCCUUGAGGUUUACAGCCAGGGCCCUGCUUCCUGUCUGGUCUCUGCACCCUUGAUGCACUGAAUAGUAAGCAAGCAGCCCCCACACUCCACUGCCACUGCAGGCCAUGCCCUCUCAAAGCUUAAGCUGAAAGAGAUCUCUCCUCCCUUCUCCUAGGUAUUUGGUUGUGGAGAGAGAUUAACUGAUACAGAGGAUUAGACAAACACUGCGGAGUUCACUGUGGGCCUGGGUUGGGUUUCCCAAAGCACCUUCCCAUUCACACAGGCAACAAUGGUGUGGCUCACCUCCCACAAAUGGCCCACGACGGGCGCGUCCGCCCAGGAGUGCUCUGCAUUUAUGCCUAUCUUGCUGUUUUUGAAGACAACAAAGGUGAUGGACUUGUCAAACCACCUACAGGGAGACAACAUGAUCAUGGGCUUCUGGGGUUACAUCGACAUGGAACCCCAAAAGCUACAUGUGUGUUUCUUUCUGCAAGGACUGAUCGCUUCUCCCCAACCCUGACAGUUCUCCAGGUUUCUACACCCCAAGAAGGUGAUUAAAAGGGACGCAGAGGACACAGAGUCAUUCAUAUCUUUUGUAUCAGAGAUACAAUACAGCAUGUGUGUAAGCCCUGGGACCAGAGGAGUGCAGACUACUGUAACACAGAGACCGGUCCCAUGCCCUCUCCAGCCGGGCCUCGGAAGCACCUCCUCACUCCCAGGACUGAACCCACUCUGCCCUGUGUGCCACCCUCUGCUGGGAGCCAGGUAGCCCACAGUUAAGAAGGGUGGUGGGGUGAGCAAAGGAACGGAUCUCAAAACUACCUGGCCUCGGCUGUGCCUGUUGAGUUUGUGGUGGGGGGAAGAAAGCAGAAUGUUACAUUUGGAUGGUCAUUUCUUCUUAGAAGGUGGGGUCAGAUUUGAGGAGGCUGCUCCCAAGGACACCAGGAACAUCUCCCUAUCAACCCUGGAGAUUAAAAAAGGGGCUUACCUGUCAAAGCAUCUUCCAUGCAGCAGGGAUUUGGCGUAGCUGUCGAUGGAUGCCUCAGGAUCCUCCUCUCUGUAUCCCUGCUCCGAUUCGUCCAACGUCACGAAGAACGCUGCCUUUUCCACCGCAUCCAGGGACUGCUUAUUUUUCCCUCGUGCAAAAUAGGUCUGCCGACACUUUGCCCAGGGCACUCUGUGGCAAGGAGCAAACACAUCUAAGAUCAGUUGCCCCGGGGCGGGCAAAUGGCUCAGUAGGCAACAGUGCUUGCUUGUCAGCACGAGAACCUGGAUUUUACCCCUACCGCCCACGUAAAGGAACCAGGUAUGGUGGUAUGAGACAGAAUCAGGAUCCUCAAGGCUUGUUAGCCAGCCGGGUCACCUAAACACCUAAGCUACUGAGGAACCCUGUCUCCAAAAUCAGUGUGGACAGCUAGUGCCUGAGGAACAACACAUUCACACAGACACACAGACACACACACUCCCUGCCCUUUUUCACUAACACACACACACACACACACACACACACACACACACACACACACACACACACAUACUCUGUUCAGAAUGAAAUCCAGCCUGUCCCUGCCCCAGACUUCCCCUAGCAGAAGCCACGACAAAUGCUGCCUUGGAGCCAGGCCCUGACCUGAGUCCACUGAUGUCUUCAGCACCACAGACCCAUCUGUCAGAUGAGGAAACCUGAGGCACAGAAAUCAAGCCACAACUACUCUGGGGCAGGGAAGGAGUGACACGAUCUGGCCCCUGAUCCCAGACCUGGACUGAUCACAUGAUACUCCCACAAUGACCUCCCUGUGCCCACCACGCUGCUGAAAUUGGUUUCCCUUCAAAACUGCAGUAGCUUCCUCCCAUUGCCCCUGGGUCCCUCACACAGUUCUCAGCGUCCAGGCCCUCUGUGCUGCCUAACCUCCAUUGCCCACAUCUCUAGCACUUUUCGGUGUCAACGCCCACAAAUGCCGCAGGUCCCCAGUGCACCCCAGCUUUCUGGCUUUCCUCCUCAGUCCCAGGCUCCAAACAACACACAGCCUUGUAAUCUCCAACUCUAUUAAAGCAUUUGCCUCUCGGCCUUAGCUCCCGCGGCAGCUUCAGAGCAGCUCAGGGGCUCUGUGGAAGAUGGCCUUUUGUGAAAUGCUGGCAUACCUUUGGCCUCAGAGAGCAAAAUGCCCUCCCCACCUUCUCAUUCCACCUGCUUCUAGUUGAGUUAGCUCAAAGCAAGGCACAGGGCAGUUCCUCUUUCCCAUAGUCUAACCCCACAGUGGAGCUGGCCUUAAAGAUCUGCUCGCUUGGUGUGUGUUGCGGGGUGUAGGGGGAGCCAGCUCAGUGGGUAAAGUACGUUCUACAUAAGCCUGAGGACCUGUGGCCAUUGACCUAUUAUUCUAGUGCUGAGAAGGCGGGGACAAGAGGGUCCCUAGAGCUCCUUGGUCUGCCAGACUAACCAAUCAGUGAGCUCCAGGUUCUGGGAGCGACUUGUCUUCAUAAUUUAAGGUGGAGAGGACCAGAUGGUGACACCCAACAUUGACAUACGUGCACAUACACUACACACACACAUACAAAACAAGUCUCCCUGGCUGGGGGCAAGCUCAGUGGUGGAGUGCUUACCUCAGAAAAAGAAAUGAAGGAAGAAGUUAGCUGGAUGUGGUGGUACAGGACUUUAAUCCAAGCUUAUAGGAGGUGGAGGAAGGGAGAACCCCAAGAUCAGGGCACUGGUUUGAGGCCCUCAAACACAUAGGAUGUCUGAGCCAUUAACAAAUAUGUCCAUAGCCCCAUGAAAAAGGCCACACCUUCACAUGUGCCCUCCUGUGUUGUCCCACAUACACCUGCUGUCCUGUACUGAACUCAGCUGCCCUUGUGCUCCACCAUCUAGGAGCAGUCUGAUACCAUGAAGCAACACUAAACAAUGACCUCUGACUGUUCUGGUGCUACCCUGUGAGGAAGAGCUCCUGCAGAGCACUAGGAAGGGUGUGCAAGGCCGCACACACACACACACACACGAGUGCACACACUUGUGCACACACUUGCAUGCACGGGCGUGCACAUGCACACACGCACCUGUCUGCAGCAGUGAGGGCGGCCAGCUUGGCCUCCCCAGGCUGUGGCUCUGAGGGAUCAUCCAGGAUCUGCUGCAUCUGCUGCUCCAGCUCUCGGGGCCUCAGCAGCCUCCCAUCGUGGUAGAGCCAGACCUUGAAGUACCGCCCUCUGUGGUACACAACAAUGUGCCUGCUGUCCUUGAUAUGUUGGAUGGUGUCUGCGGUGGUGAGGACACAAAGGAGUGACAAGAAGUCAGAAAGCCUUGGGAGCAUAGAUCUGACUGUUUUGCUUUGUGAGGAUCUCAUGUAGCCCAGGCUGGUCUUAAACUCCCUAUGUAGCCAAGGAUGACCUUGAACUCCUGAUUCUCCUGCCUCUACCUCCUGAGUUCUAGGAGUACAGUUGUGUGGCCCCCGACUCCAUACUGAGUCACUCACUCCCUUUGGCUUAACCAGCCCUUCUAAUCUAACGUUUCCUAUCUAUGAAACAAGGUCGGCACGUGCAGUAUUGAAUGAUCUCUCCCAUAAGUCAAAGGCAGAGUUCAGUUCCCAAUUCCCACAUUAGGUGGUUCACAGCCUCCUGAAACUCCAGCUCCAGGGAAUCUGGUGCCUCCUUCUGGCUUCUUUGGGCGCUUCACAUGCUCAUGUGCACACGCAUAUGAAGAGGCAACUCAUACAUAAAAAUAAAAAGUAAAAAUAAGGGCUGGAGAGAUGGCUCAGUGGUUAAGAGCACCGACUGCUCUUCCAGAGGUCCAGAGUUCAAUUCCCAGCAACCACACGGUGGCUCACAGUUAUCUGUAAUGGGAUCCCAUGCCCUCUUCUGAUGUGUCUGAAGACUGCUACAGUGUACUCAUAAAAAAAAAAAAAAGUAAAAAUAAAAAUCUUUAAAAAAUGAAAUGUUUCGGCAAGGCACAAUGGUGUAUCCCCUGGGAGGACCAGGAGUUCAAGGCCAGCCUCUACAUAUCAAGUUAGAAGCUAGCCUGAGCUACAUAAGACCCUGUCUCAAAAAGGGGUGUGUGUGGGGGAGAGACUAGGAGAUGACUUGUGGGUAACCCUUGCUGUGCAAGCCUGGCGACACGAGUUUGAUCCGCACUCAUGGCACAAGAUCUGACCUGCACAUGAUUGCUAUGGUGUGGCUGUGUCCCUCCUACACACAAACACAAUAAAAAAAAAAAAACCAUAAAAAGAAUUGACAGUAAAAGGCUGGUUGUGGUGGCCCACUCCUUUAAUUCCAGCACUGAGGAGGCAGAGGCAGGGGGAUCUCAGUGAGUUAGCUUGGUUUAACUAGGGAAUUCAGAAUAGCCAGGGCUGCAUGAAAUCCUGUCUCAAAAGAAGCAAACAAUCAGAGCCCACAGCAGAGCAGGAGAGGCCUCUGAUUGCUAGCAUGCGCUGUAUGACCUCACUGAGCACACUACAUUUUCAUGAAUUAUAAUUUGUCGUCUUUGCAACAGGGCUUCAUUAAGAAGCUUUCCCGGCCUAUAACUCACUAUGUGGACAUAGUAUAGACCAGACUGGGCUCAAACUCCCAGAAAUCUACCUGCCUCGGCCUCCUGAAUGCUAGGUUUAAAGGCAUGGGCCACCACACUCAACGUUACCCAGAUUUUAAUUAAUAUUUAUGAUCAUUACUAUUGGUGACCACGAUGGAGCCAGCGGGAUGGUUCAGCUGGUAAAGGUACCUGCUGCCUAGACUGGACCCGCACGGCGGAAGAGAACCAGUGCCCGCAAGAACAAAAUAAAUAAAUUCCACUUAUUUAUGUAUCCCGUGUGAGUUUCUUUUUUUCUUUCUUUCUUUUUUUUUUUUUUUUUUUUUUUGGGAGCUGGGGACCGAACUUGCCUAGCAAGUGCUCUACCACUAAGCUAAAUCCCCAAUCCCCCCGUGUGAGUUUCUUUCUUUUUUUUUUUUUUUUUUUUUUUGGUUCUAUUUUUCGGAGCUGGGGACCGAACCCAGGGCCUUCCGCUUCCUAGUCAAGCGCUCUACCACUGAGCUAAAUCCCCAACCCCAAGAUGUAGUUUAUUUGUUUUUUGUUUUUUUCGGAGCUGAGGACCAAACCCAGGGCCUUGCGCUUGCUAGGCAAGUGCUCUACCACUGAGCUAAGUCCCCAACCCC